UACGUAGGCAGCAAGCGUGUUCGGAGUUACUGGGCGUAAAGGGUGCGUAGGCGGCCCUGUAAGUAUGGUGUGAAAUCUCCCGGCUUAACUGGGAGGGUGCGCUAUAGACUGCGGGGCUCGAGUGUGGGAGAGGAAAGUGGAAUUCCUGGUGUAGCGGUGAAAUGCGGUAGAUAUCAGGAGGAACACCGGUUGGUGUAAACGGCUUUCUGGACCAUAAACUGACGCUGAGGCAACGAAAGCCGUGGGUAGCAAACAGGA
rnacentral:rRNA from 1 species